UACGUAGGUGGCGAGCGUUGUCCGGAUUUACUGGGCGUAAAGAGCGCGCAGGCGGUCGUUCAAGUCGGAUGUGAAAGCCCCCGGCUCAACUGGGGAGGGUCAUUCGAUACUGAUCGACUCGAAGGCAGGAGAGGGAAGCGGAAUUCCCGGUGUAGUGGUGAAAUUCGUAGAUAUUCGUAAGAACACCAGUGGCGAAGGCGGCUUUCUGGCUCGAUACUGACGCUAAGGCGCGAAAGCGUGGGGAGCAAACAGG
rnacentral:rRNA from 1 species